rnacentral:rRNA from 1 species
AUACGUAGGUGGCAAGCGUUGUCCGUAAUUAUUGGGCGUAAAGCGCGCGCAGGUGGUUCCUUAAGUCUGAUGUGAAAGCCCCCGGCUCAACCGGGGAGGGUCAUUGGAAACUGGGGAACUUGAGUGCAGAAGAGGAUAGUGGAAUUCCAAGUGUAGCGGUGAAAUGCGUAGAGAUUUGGAGGAACACCAGUGGCGAAGGCGACUGUCUGGUCUGUAACUGACACUGAGGCGCGAAAGCGUGGGGAGCAAACAGGAUUAGAUACCCUGGUAGUCCACGCCGUAAACGAUGAGUGCUAAGUGUUGGGGGGUUUCCGCCCCUCAGUGCUGCAGCUAACGCAUUAAGCACUCCGCCUGGGGAGUACGGUCGCAAGACUGAAACUCAAAGGAAUUGACGGGG